rnacentral:rRNA from 1 species
AUUGAAGCUGGCGGCAGGCCUAACACAUGCAAGUCGAACGAGUGGCGGACGGGUGAGUAAUACAUCGGAAUCUGCUCUAUCGCGGGGGAUAACUACUGGAAACUGAAGCUAAUACCGCAUACCAUCAAAUGAGCCGAUAUGGGAUUAGCUAGUUGGUGAGGUAAAGGCCUACCAAGGCGACGAUCCGUAGCUGGUCUGAGAGGAUGAUCAGCCACACUGGGACUGAGACACGGCCCAGACUCCUACGGGAGGCAGCAGUGGGGAAUAUUGGACAAGGGGCGCAACCUGAUGCAGCCAUGCCGCGUGGAUGAAGAAGGCCUUCGGUUGUAAAGUACUUUUGUUGGGGAAGCGUUACCGACAGAAGAAGCACCGGCUAACUCCGUGCCAGCAGCCGCGGUAAUAC